UUGACCUCGGAUCAGGUAGGGAUACCCGCUGAACUUAAGCAUAUCAAUAAGCGGAGGAAAAGAAACCAACAGGGAUUGCCCCAGUAACGGCGAGUGAAGCGGCAAGAGCUCAAAUUUGAAAGCUGGCUCCUUCGGGGUCCGCAUUGUAAUUUGCAGAGGAUGCUUCGGGAGCGGUCCCCAUCUAAGUGCCCUGGAACGGGACGUCAUAGAGGGUGAGAAUCCCGUAUGGGAUGGGGUGUCCGCGCCCGUGUGAAGCUCCUUCGACGAGUCGAGUUGUUUGGGAAUGCAGCUCUAAAUGGGUGGUAAAUUUCAUCUAAAGCUAAAUAUUGGCCGGAGACCGAUAGCGCACAAGUAGAGUGAUCGAAAGAUGAAAAGCACUUUGAAAAGAGAGUUAAAAAGCACGUGAAAUUGUUGAAAGGGAAGCGCUUGCGACCAGACUCGCUCGCGGGGUUCAGCCGGCACUCGUGCCGGUGUACUUCCCCGCGGGCGGGCCAGCGUCGGUUUGGGCGGUCGGUCAAAGGCCCUCGGAAGGUAACGCCCCUCGGGGCGUCUUAUAGCCGAGGGUGCAAUGCGACCUGCCCAGACCGAGGAACGCGCUUCGGCUCGGACGCUGACAUAAUGAUCGUAAGCGACC
rnacentral:rRNA from 1 species